UCUAGAGGGUGAGGUAUCUGGGACACCUCAAGCUGACAGGAUAGCUCAGCCCUGGAGGUAUCCCAAAUACCUUGACUGGCUUAGGACAGAUCAUCCCUGGAGGGGAAGGUCUCCCAGAUAUCUUGAGCUGCUAGGACAGCUCUGAUGGCUGGAUCUGCAAUGAGACAGCUCAGCCCUGGAAGGGAAGAUGUGUCAACUGGAGUUGGGUACUUUACAGUGAAUUAUUUGUGGAACUUUGUGAAAGUCUCCAUAUAUUGCAAAAAGAAGCUUCUUUGAUGAGGGGUGUUGCUGAAGUCAUUUUGCAUCUUCAAAGGAAUAGAAACCCUAUCUAACAAACAAAUCUUAAUUGUGAUGGGUGAAGAAACAAGAUAUUAGGCCUGUGAGAUGUAAAUAUUCCAUUGAUUUUGUGGAAAAUCUUCUCACUUAUAAGAAGACCAUAAAAUGGGAGAGGCACAAUGUAGAUCAGUUGUUAAGAGUACUUCUUGUUUCUCCAAAGAACACAGAUUCCAUUCUUGUCACCCAUAUGUCACUGUCAACCAUCUGUAGCUGCAUUUCCAGGGAAUCCAAUAAUCUCUCCUGGUUUCAACAGGCACCCAAAAUGCAAGAGGCACACAGAUAAUCAUGCAAGUAAAACACUCAAAAAAUAAAAGUAAAAUAAAAUUGAAACACCUUUUAAAAUAAACGAAAUUAGAAUUUUGACAAAAUUUUACUAUGGAUUUUCUGUGCUAAUUUAAUAAUAUUUGUAAUAUUAAAUUUGCCUAUAUGUGAAGAGUAUAUUGCUGGAGAGUGUCAUCCCAGUUUAUUUUGUUCAUUUUAGGUGCUUCCUUUAAGUCUUAAAUAUUUACUGUAAUUAAUUUCACUUCUUUGUUCAGGACUGGUCCCUAUAGUUUAAUUUAUUGUUAAGAGUAUUAUUUUGUUAUUUUUUUCAACAUGUUCAUUGUUAUUUUAAAAGGUCAUGGAUCUUGUGCUAUACUUUCUUGUGGAAAUUAGUGAUACGGUCUAAGUGUUUUGUGGAGGAGUCCUUAGAAUCUGUGAUAUGUGGGACCAUUUUCUUUCAAACCACCACAACUUGUUCUCAGAUGAUAACAAUUUGUUAGAAAGGAAUUCAAAAUGAUACUCUUUUGUUAUGAGAUAUAUUCUGUAAUGUUACUUUCCAUUAUUUCCUCAAACUGAAAUCUUGAAAGGGAAUCAUGUGAUUAUUUUUCUACUCAUAUUCUUUAUAUAUUUCUGUUCUUUUUUCUUUUUGUCAAGAUCUUGAGUAGUGUAUAAAAUACAAUCAAUGAUAAACAGGAGCUUUUACAGAUAUGCAUAAAUAAGCAGGCACUCAUACAUGUACUGUUAUACAUGCAUGCAUUAAAACAUAAAUCAAAUAUUAUUAAAACAUUGGCCAACCAAUCUGUAUUCAUGGAGAAAACAAUAAAAUGCAGCAAUUCCUUA